UUUUGGGCUCUGCGGAAAUCCCCUGACACCUACCCUACUAGGUUUUGGGUUCACACUUUGAGAAGUAGCAGUGAGCAUAACAGUCUCGUCUGGAAUGUAAUCAUCCAAAACAAUAAGAGUGCUUGCUGCCAGAACAACAUGGACAAAAAAAGAAAAAAACAGUCCAAAGCAAGCAGUACUUUUGUGUUUUUUUUUUGCAAGAGCCGCCUCAUUUGCAAAAAGCACUGCUCGUGUGCCUGAUGUUUCUUUUUUGAUUGUACCUGUGACAAAGACGUUUGAGUAAUGACCAUGUUAAAUUUAGCAUAGACGAAAGUAUGCCAUUUUCCAGUUGACAAAACGGAAUGCACAGACUAUGAAAAGAAAACUGGUUUGGGGUUGUGGAGCCGGCAUGUGCAAGCUCAGACAAGAACUUCUGCACACACCUCUGGGAAAAGUCACUUUUUUGCAGCAAAAGUCAAAUGCAUGAAGAAGAGGCCAAACCUUGCAGCUGUAGCAAAAAAAGAAAACUACAGGGUCGCGAGGGCUUCUUACCAUGACUGUUUCCUUGUGUCGGAGUCUGUCUUCCUGACUUGUGUCGUCCCUUGUUCCCACUGUGAUGUGAAGCCACGUGUCCAUCCAAAGCCAAGUCCAACGCGGGGCCGAGACCUGGGUUCUGUCCAUUAGAGCCGAGAUCCUUCCUUUUUUUGCCCUUUAGCCAGCCCAAGGCCCGGCCCAGGGAGUGACUGCGCUUUUUCCUCCCCUUUUUAUGAUGCUUCUCUUGGGCAAAGAUCUCAACCACAUCGUGGGGAAUCAGCUCCCCAAAGCCCAGCGAGUCGCGGUUGGACAUCCCACCACUUGCUGGAUUUGAGCCCUGGAACGGACACACACACAAAAAUAAUAGGUUUGUUAACAAUGCUCGUGUUAUUCCUCAGUGUCUGGUUGGUAGGUUUUAAAGAUUCACUGGAUACGCGACAAAAGUAGCGUGACAUUGACGGAUUAUCAGCGAUAAACAAGUUUGAAACCUC